GAUGAACGCUAGCGACAGGCUUAACACAUGCAAGUCGAGGGGCAGCAACACUUUCGGGUGGUUGGCGACCGGCGCACGGGUGAGUAACACGUAUGCAACCUACCUACUACUAGAGGAUAGCCCGUUGAAAGACGGAUUAAUACUUUAUGACACAGGGGUGCCGCAUGGCAAUAUUUGUUAAAGAUUUAUUGGUAGUAGAUUGGCAUGCGAAGGAUUAGCUAGUUGGUUGAGGUAACGGCUCACCAAGGCAACGAUCCUUAGGGGUUCUGAGAGGAAGGUCCCCCACACUGGUACUGAGACACGGACCAGACUCCUACGGGAGGCAGCAGUGAGGAAUAUUGGUCAAUGGACGAGAGUCUGAACCAGCCAAGUCGCGUGAAGGAAGACGGUAUUAUGUAUUGUAAACUUCUUUUAUAGGGGAAUAAAAUGCGGCACGUGUGCUGUUUUGUAUGUACCCUAUGAAUAAGCAUCGGCUAACUCCGUGCCAGCCGCCGCAGUAA
rnacentral:rRNA from 1 species